UACUCGGUAGGAAGGGGUAAAAUCCUUUGAUCUAUUGAUGACCACCUGUGGCGAAGGCGGUCUACCAGAACACGUUCGACGGUGAGGGAUGAAAGCUGGGGGAGCAAACCGGAUUAGAUACCCGGGUAGUCCCAGCUGUAAACUAUGCAAACUCAGUGAUGCAUUGGCUUGUGGCUAAUGCAGUGCUGCAGGGAAGCCGUUAAGUUUGCCGCCUGGGAAGUACGUACGCAAGUAUGAAACUUAAAGGAAU
rnacentral:rRNA from 1 species